rnacentral:rRNA from 1 species
CUACGGGAUGCAGCAGUGGGGAAUAUUGGGCAAUGGGCGCAAGCCUGACCCAGCAACGCCGCGUGAGGGAAGAAGGUUUUCGGAUUGUAAACCUCUGUCCUUGGGGACGAAGAAGUGACGGUACCCAAGGAGGAAGCUCCGGCUAACUACGUGCCAGCAGCCGCGGUAAUACGUAGGGAGCAAGCGUUGUCCGGAAUUACUGGGCGUAAAGGGUGCGUAGGCGGCAUAUUAAGUCAGGUGUGAAAUACUCGGGCUCAACCCGAGGGGUGCAUUUGAAACUGAUAAGCUUGAGUGUGAGAGAGGAAAGUGGAAUUCCUAGUGUAGCGGUGGAAUGCGUAGAUAUUAGGAGGAACACCAGUGGCGAAGGCGACUUUCUGGCUCAUAACUGACGCUGAGGCACGAAAGCGUGGGGAGCAAACAGGAUUAGAUACCCCUGUAGUC